rnacentral:rRNA from 1 species
AGAGUUUGAUCAUGGCUCAGAUUGAACGCUGGCGGCAGGCCUAACACAUGCAAGUCGAACGGUAACAGGAAGCAGCUUGCUGCUUUGCUGACGAGUGGCGGACGGGUGAGUAAUGUCUGGGAAACUGCCUGAUGGAGGGGGAUAACUACUGGAAACGGUGGCUAAUACCGCAUAACGUCGCAAGACCAAAGAGGGGGACCUUCGGGCCUCUUGCCAUCAGAUGUGCCCAGAUGGGAUUAGCUUGUUGGUGAGGUAACGGCUCACCAAGGCGACGAUCCCUAGCUGGUCUGAGAGGAUGACCAGCCACACUGGAACUGAGACACGGUCCAGACUCCUACGGGAGGCAGCAGUGGGGAAUAUUGCACAAUGGGCGCAAGCCUGAUGCAGCCAUGCCGCGUGUAUGAAGAAGGCCUUCGGGUUGUAAAGUACUUUCAGCGGGGAGGAAGGUGUUGUGGUUAAUAACCGCAGCAAUUGACGUUACCCGCAGAAGAAGCACCGGCUAACUCCGUGCCAGCAGCCGCGGUAAUACGGAGGGUGCAAGCGUUAAUCGGAAUUACUGGGCGUAAAGCGCACGCAGGCGGUCUGUCAAGUCGGAUGUGAAAUCCCCGGGCUCAACCUGGGAACUGCAUUCGAAACUGGCAGGCUUGAGUCUUGUAGAGGGGGGUAGAAUUCCAGGUGUAGCGGUGAAAUGCGUAGAGAUCUGGAGGAAUACCGGUGGCGAAGGCGGCCCCCUGGACAAAGACUGACGCUCAGGUGCGAAAGCGUGGGGAGCAAACAGGAUUAGAUACCCUGGUAGUCCACGCCGUAAACGAUGUCUACUUGGAGGUUGUGCCCUUGAGGCGUGGCUUCCGGAGCUAACGCGUUAAGUAGACCGCCUGGGGAGUACGGCCGCAAGGUUAAAACUCAAAUGAAUUGACGGGGGCCCGCACAAGCGGUGGAGCAUGUGGUUUAAUUCGAUGCAACGCGAAGAACCUUACCUGGUCUUGACAUCCACGGAAGUUUUCAGAGAUGAGAAUGUGCCUUCGGGAACCGUGAGACAGGUGCUGCAUGGCUGUCGUCAGCUCGUGUUGUGAAAUGUUGGGUUAAGUCCCGCAACGAGCGCAACCCUUAUCCUUUGUUGCCAGCGAUUAGGUCGGGAACUCAAAGGAGACUGCCAGUGAUAAACUGGAGGAAGGUAGGGAUGACGUCAAGUCAUCAUGGCCCUUACGACCAGGGCUACACACGUGCUACAAUGGCGCAUACAAAGAGAAGCGACCUCGCGAGAGCAAGCGGACCUCAUAAAGUGCGUCGUAGUCCGGAUUGGAGUCUGCAACUCGACUCCAUGAAGUUGGAAUCGCUAGUAAUCGUGGAUCAGAAUGCCACGGUGAAUACGUUCCCGGGCCUUGUACACACCGCCCGUCACACCAUGGGAGUGGGUUGCAAAAGAAGUAGGUAGCUUAACCUUCGGGAGGGCGCUUACCACUUUGUGAUUCAUGACUGGGGUGAAGUCGUAACAAGGUAACCGUAGGGGAACCUGCGGUUG